rnacentral:rRNA from 1 species
AGUGAACGCUGGCGGCGUGCCUAACACAUGCAAGUCGAACGAUGAUGGAGAGCUUGCUCUCCUGAUUAGUGGCGCACGGGUGAGUAUACCAUAGAUAAUGUACCUCUUAGUUCGGGAUAGCCACUGGAAACGGUGAUUAAUACCGGGUACUCCUUCUUGUCAAAAGGCAAGUAGGGAAAGUUUUUUCGCUAAGAGAUCAGUCUAUGUCCUAUCAGUUAGUUGGUGAGGUAAUGGCUCACCAAGACUAUGACGGGUAUCUGGUUUGAGAGGAUGAUCAGACACACUGGAACUGAGACACGGUCCAGACUCCUACGGGAGGCAGCAGUGAGGAAUAUUGCACAAUGGAGGAAACUCUGAUGCAGCAACGCCGCGUGGAGGAUGACGCAUUUCGGUGUGUAAACUCCUUUUAAGAGGGAAGAUUAUGACGGUACCUCUUGAAUAAGCACCGGCUAACUCCGUGCCAGCAGCCGCAGUAA